GACGAACGCUGGCGGCGUGCUUAACACAUGCAAGUCGAACGGUGAAGCGCCUUCCUUUUUGGUGGGUGUGGAUGAGUGGCGAACGGGUGAGUAACACGUGAGUAACCUGCCCCCUUCUUCUGGAUAACCGCAUGAAAGUGUGGCUAAUACGGGAUAUUCUGUGUCUGUCGCAUGAUGGGUCUGGGAAAGAUAUUGUUUCGGUGGUGGAUGGGCUCGCGGCCUAUCAGCUUGUUGGUGGGGUGAUGGCCUACCAAGGCGGUGACGGGUAGCCGGCCUGAGAGGGUGGACGGUCACACUGGGACUGAGACACGGCCCAGACUACUACGGGAGGCAGCAGUGGGGAAUAUUGCACAAUGGGCGCAAGCCUGAUGCAGCGACGCCGCGUGAGGGAUGGAGGCCUUCGGGUUGUGAACCUCUUUCGCCAGUGAAGCAGGCCUGCCUCGUUUGUGGGUGGGUUGACGGUAGCUGGAUAAGAAGCGCCGGCUAACUACGUG
rnacentral:rRNA from 1 species